UACAGGGGGGGCCAGCGUUAUUCGGAAUUAUUGGGCGUAAAGGGCGCGUAGGCGGCCAUGCGUGUCUUCCGUGAAAUCCCUCGGCUUAACCGAGGACGUGCGGAAGAAACUGCAAGGCUCGAGUCCGGAAGAGGGGGGCGGAAUUCCCAGUGUAGCGGUGAAAUGCGUAGAUAUUGGGAGGAACACCAGUGGCGAAGGCGGUCCCCUGGGCCGGAACUGACGCUGAGGCGCGAAAGCGUGGGGAGCAAACAGG
rnacentral:rRNA from 1 species